GGGUCUUCUUUUGUCCUCCUCUCUCCUUCCCCCUUACUCCCCCUUCUCUCUCUCCUCUCACGGCUCAAUCUAUUGUGCUGGCUGUGUUCCGUCAGGACCCUUCCAGAUGCCUCUGGCUGAUCUCUCCCUCAUAUUACAAUUAAAAACAAAACAAAACAAAACAAAACAAAAAACCCUUCCCCUCAAUCAAACCUAAGAGCAGCCACGUCCUCACUUUCACUGAGUCAGCGCCAAAGAAAAGCUUGGGGCCCAGACCCAGUGGCGGAUGCUGCCUCAGAGGCAAACCUGGAACCAGGCAAACAUGUCUGGCUCCUGGGCAUCCACCUCCCAUUACUGUCCUGUGACCCUAUCUGUUCCUCCCAGAUCCUAGAGGAGCAGCUCGCUGUGUCCACAGAAGCAGAGAGUGGGGAAGGACCCGGGUUCUGUGGUAAUGUUUUGGCACUUGAGGAGGAAGAGAGCACCUGGCAUGCACUCUGGAGACGUGAGCAAAUGACUCAGGGAUUCCUCACCCAGAGCAGGGGAGGGAGCUCAGGGUUGUGCCUUACUGUACCAGUGAGGUAGGUACCUUGGUGAAGUAGCAUUCUCACUGGCAAAUGGGAAUCACUUCUUGUUUCUCACCGCACCUCUCCUGGGAGUGUGAUGGUCCUGGAGGUUGGUUUUCUUGUUUGGAUCAUGGGGCUGGGAGUCCUGUCUGCUGGGCCAGAGAGAGCCCUUCAGUUGUUCAUGACUUCGAUGGCCGUGCCACAGCCCUGUCUUCCCGACCUAAAUCAACAUGCACAGAGCCUGGAGUUCUGCACUAGCUCUGAGAUUAAGCGGUAGUGGGCCUGCGACCCCGAGCCCUGAAGACCUUGAUGUUUCUCUGAGAAGAGGGUUGGCUUCCUAUAUUACUGAGAGCUGGAAAAGGCACACUUCUUUCUCGGCCCACUCCACUUAGUACCGAAGGGCCUCUUUGCCCUUCUGACUGCGUCUCUCUGGGUUUCAUGUGUUGUUUGUACAGCUUCUGCCUGGUGGCUUCUGAAGCAGUCAAGAAAAGUGGGCCACCCCGGCCUGGUCACUUACCUCGGUUUAUUUGGCCCACCUUACUUCUGAACUUCUGACAAGCUGCUGUGUGUGCUGAGGGGAGAGUCACAGCCCUGGGAUGACAGAAGAAAGGAGGAGGCCUAAGACCCAGGCAUCCCCGGUCGUGGGCCAGGAGCUCAGGGAGCAAGUCUGCCCAAAGGCUGACUGGCCUUGACCUUGACAGCAUCCCACCUGCCCAGAGGCACUUGCCCUAGAGUGUCACUGUUGUUAGACUAUGCCUGGGCAGGAACCCCUGCCUCCCAGAACAGUGACCAGAUCAGCCAGCAGGGACCAGAGAAACAAAACAACAAAGCAAACUGGGCCCCUCGGCUCCCAAGUGAGAGAGGCGGAGAUUCUGAGGACACUGGACAUGAGUGGGAGGUGUCUGGGUUCUGGAGAGGUGGCCCAGGACAAAACAGCUCAAGAAGCAUCUGUACACAUACCAGUAGAUAUGUGUUCACCCAUGACCAGCUAGCCCUGAUUCCAGAGCACUAGGCUUCCCGUUUGUCAUGGAGAAAUUAUUAAUUAGUUAAGAUUUCAGCUUUUGGGUCUUUUAAGUUUUAUUUUUCAUUAUUUUUUUUUUAAUAUUAGCACAUAAGGUAAUAGGCACCCUAAGAGUUCCAUACAUCGUUUUGUUUAUUCUCUUUCCUUCUCUCGUCUCCCCUCCCCCCUCCUUCCCCUCCACAUAGCUUUCUUCCUCUUUCAAGUCUCAGGUAUUGGCUCACUGUCGUCGUCUCCCUCCCCACAACCUUCCCAGAAGACACAUAUAGAAAUUAAAACCUGGGAUGCACACAUGA
rnacentral:sRNA from 1 species